rnacentral:rRNA from 1 species
UGGGGGAUAUUGCACAAUGGGCGAAAGCCUGAUGCAGCGACGCCGCGUGGGGGAUGAAGGCCUUCGGGUUGUAAACUUCUUUUGCUCUGAACAAGGCAUGCCUUUGGGGUGUGUUGAGUGUAGGGGUUGAUUAGCGCCGGCUAACUACGUGCCAGCAGCCGCGGUAAUACGUAGGGCGCGAGCGUUGUCCGGAAUUAUUGGGCGUAAAGGGCUUGUAGGUGGCUGGUUGCGUCUGUCGUGAAAGCUCAUGGCUUAACUGUGGGUUUGCGGUGGGUACGGGCUGGCUUGAGUGCAGUAGGGGAGGCUGGAAUUCCUGGUGUAGCGGUGGAAUGCGCAGAUAUCAGGAGGAAUACCGGUGGCGAAGGCGGGUCUCUGGGCUGUUACUGACGCUGAGGAGCGAAAGCGUGGGGCGCGAACAGG